rnacentral:piRNA from 1 species
UGGGACUUUUGCUUCCUGGCCAGUAGG